AUUGAACGCUGGCGGCAGGCCUAACACAUGCAAGUCGAGCGGGGUUUUCGGACCUAGCGGCGGACGGGUGAGUAAUGCGUAGGAAGCUGCCCGAUAGAGGGGGAUACCAGUUGGAAACGACUGUUAAUACCGCAUAAUGUCUACGGACCAAAGUGUGGGACCUUCGGGCCACAUGCUAUCGGAUGCGCCUACGUGGGAUUAGCUAGUUGGUGAGGUAAUGGCUCACCAAGGCGACGAUCUCUAGCUGGUUUGAGAGGAUGAUCAGUCACACUGGAACUGAGACACGGUCCAGACUCCUACGGGAGGCAGCAGUGGGGAAUAUUGGACAAUGGGCGCAAGCCUGAUCCAGCCAUGCCGCGUGUGUGAAGAAGGCCUUCGGGUUGUAAAGCACUUUCAGCGAGGAGGAAGGGGUUGUAGUUAAUAGCUGCAACCUUUGACGUUACUCGCAGAAGAAGCACCGGCUAACUCUGUGCCAGCCGCCGCAGUAAAAC
rnacentral:rRNA from 1 species